rnacentral:rRNA from 1 species
UCCCUUAGAUGUUCUGGGCCGCACGCGCGCUACACUGAUGCAUUCAACGAGUUUCUUCCUGGUCCGAGAGGAAUGGGUAACCUUUUGAAAGUGCAUCGUGAUAGGGAUAGACUAUUGCAAUUAUUGGUCUUCAACGAGGAAUUCCUAGUAGACGUAGUUCAUCAGACUGCAUCGAUUACGUCCCUGCCCUUUGUACACACCGCCCGUCGCUCCUACCGAUUGAAUGCUCAGGUGAGCCAUUCGGACUUUCAUCAUGCUGGUUUCCAGUUUUGAUGAAGGAAAGUCUUGCGAACCUUAUCAUUUAGAGGAAGGAGAAGUCGUAACA